rnacentral:lncRNA from 1 species
GUCAUUUUACAAUCGAACGCGACGCCUCAAUCGAAUCGAACGCGCGAAAACGCGUUCGUUUCUCGUUUUUAACCAACACUCAGACAGACAUGCUCCCGGUAUAACCAAGAGCGCCAUUUGCGUUCAAAGAUUGGAUGAUUCACUGAAUUCUGCAAUUCACACUACGUAUCGCAGCUGGCUGCGUUCUUCAUCGAUGCACGAGCCAAGAGAUCCACCGUUAAAAGUUAUCCAUUUUAUAUAACUUUUC